rnacentral:rRNA from 1 species
AGAGUUUGAUCCUGGCUCAGAACGAACGCUGGCGGCGUGCCUAACACAUGCAAGUCGAGGGAGAAAGCCCGCAAGGGUGAGUAAACCGGCGAACGGGUGCGUAACACGUGGAUAAUCUACCUUCCUGACUGGGACAACUGGCCGAAAGGCUUGCUAAUACCAGAUAAGCCCACGGGCGCUUCGGCGCCUGAGGGAAAAGGUGGCCUCUGCAUGCAAGCUAUCGCAGGGAGAUGAGUCCGCGGCCCAUCAGCUAGUUGGCGGGGUAAAAGCCCACCAAGGCUACGACGGGUAGCUGGUCUGAGAGGAUGAUCAGCCACACUGGAACUGAGACACGGUCCAGACUCCUACGGGAGGCAGCAGUGGGGAAUCUUGCGCAAUGGGCGAAAGCCUGACGCAGCAACGCCGCGUGUGUGAUGAAGGUCUUCGGAUCGUAAAGCACUGUCGCGAGGGAAGAUACGCUUCCGCCUAACAUGCGGAGGCUAAGACGGUACCUCGAGAGGAAGCACCGGCUAACUCUGUGCCAGCAGCCGCGGUAAUACAGAGGGUGCGAGCGUUGUUCGGAAUUAUUGGGCGUAAAGCGCUUGUAGGCGGCCUGUCAAGUCGCGUGUGAAAUCCCCUGGCUUAACCAGGGAAGUGCGCGCGAAACUGGCGGGCUUGAGUGCCGGAGAGGGUCGCGGAAUUCCCGGUGUAGAGGUGAAAUUCGUAGAUAUCGGGAGGAACACCAGUGGCGAAGGCGGCGACCUGGACGGACACUGACGCUGAGACGCGAAAGCGUGGGGAGCAAACAGGAUUAGAUACCCCCGUAGUCC